UCUUCGCUUUCCUCCCCCGCCCCCCUUCGGGCGCUCUUCCUGUCCGCGAUCCCUCUCUCCCCUCCCUCCGUUCCCCUUUUUCCCUCUCUCCCAUCUCCCCCUCGCACCUUUCUCUUCCUAACCCCCUCUUCCACUUUCUGCCUUCUCUCCCUGCCCUUCUCUCCCUUCCCUCCCUCCCCUUCUCGUUCUAUACCCCGCUCCCGCGUCCUCCCGCUCCCACCCACUCCUUCUGCGGGUCCCGCAGCCCAGUUCCCGCCGGUGCAAUGGGUUUUGUUUCCUUGCUUUUUUGGCGAGGGCGCCAUUCCCGCUGGGCGCAGGGCGACUGUGCCCCCUGCAGUUGCGCCACGCAGCGGCGCAGCUUCUAGUCUUUUAAGGAUGGAUUUUGACCCCUGCCAACCUCCACCUGUCCACCUGCAGGGGUGGGGCCGCCUCCCUGCGGGCACAUUUUUAACCCGGGUUGCGCCCGGCCCUGCCGGCUGGUUCCCGGCACGUUCUGGAUGUUUCCCGAGGGUUUUGUGCGGUGCCGCCGCCGCCGCCGCCGCCGCGCUCUUUGUUUUAAUUGUCCAGAGUAUCGGCGCCCAAAGCGGGUUUGCAUUGGAUUUGCAGCCCUGUGCCCCGGUUUCCACUUCGGACCGAGGAGAAAACGAAUUAAUUAGGUCAAUGCGAUUGUACUGAAGCCCUAAACGAAAGGGUGAGGCUCGUGAAGCGCACACUUUUUAGAAUAAAUCCAGGCACACCCUCGGCCGUGGGGCCCAGAUUGGGACUGGCUGUUCGCGGAUACGGGUCCUGCCGCCAAGCGCAGGGGCACGGCUGGCCCUCGAGUCUUCCAGCUUGCGGCCGCCCUGGUGCUCUGGAAAGCGCUGGGCUGUGUCCAGAGGUUCAGACAAGUGCUUGGGCAGGUAGCUGUAGCUCCGAAAUAGUUAACCCACGUUCGAAAGUUCUCAGAAGCUUCCCUUUGGCACUGGUGGAUUUGUGCGUAUUGGAACUAACAAUGAUUGGGAGCCUGGAAGGACAUGGCCCUUGCCCUCUGGAGAUGCCACCACGGUAGGGCAAGUCGCGGCAGGCGUCAGGAGAGUCUGGCCAUACAGAUGGAGUGCCCAGGGUAUGCCCUCGGCCGUCUCAGUACAGGCCUGGCCACCCUCAGCAACUGAGCUGAGUCAUUCCUUUCUUUUUUUAGGUCACCUGAGGGCUGCGGCCCUGGGUCAGGUUCUUGGCUCCCAGUCACUCAUUCCAAGGUAAUGCCUUCUGUCACUGGUUCUCAAACUUCAGCCUGCAUGUGAAUCCCGGGGAGGGCUUAUUAAAACACACGUUGCUGGACAACCCCACUAGAAUUUCAGAUUCAGUUGGCCCUGGGUGAAGCUUGAGAAGCUGUAUGCUGGUCCACAGACCCCAUUUCCAGAACCAUUGGCGCGUAGAUAAGGUCAUUCUGCUCCUACCUCGUCCAGCAGGCACUACAUUAAAACAUCUGAGAGUGUCUUUGUUUGACAGCUGUCUCCAGCACCCCUGCCCCACUUCCAAAGACCCGCAGCACUGAAAAUUCUCCUGUGUGAUGUGGAAAAUCGUUUAUUCUAUUGAGUGUCCAGGGGGGUUGAAAGAUUUGGCAGCUUUGUCCCAGAUUGUGUCCAUAUUAUUUUGGGGGGCAGGUCAAAGUAUAGACGAGACUCUUUUUUUUUUUUUAAUUUUUUUUAACGUUUUAUUUAUUUUUGAGACAGAGAGAGACAGAGCAUGAAUGGGGGAGGGGCAGAGAGAGAGGGAGACACAGAAUCGGAAGCAGGCUCCAGGCUCUGAGCUGUGAGCACAGAACCUGACGCGGGGCUCGAACCCACGGACCGCGAGAUCGUGACCCGAGCCGAAGUUGGACGCCUAACCGACUGAGCCACCCAGGCGCCCCUAUACUCUUUAAUGUGUAUGGAAGGAAAACUGUUGGCCAGUUCGAGAAAAUGGGGCUUCACAAUAUUUCUGGAAUUUCCGCCUGUCUUCCUGGGCCUUUCUCUGGAGUUCUCUUCCACUUCAUUGCACAAAGACUCAGUUUGGCCUUCAGGGAACGAAAUGGCUCCCUUAGGUUGUUUGUAAUCAGGAUUCAUGGAAUCCAAGUUUCAGAAGCCUUGUGAGUUUGAAUUUACCUAACUGUAGUCGUUGUGGAGGCACCCCUUGGGGCACUGAGCUAUUUUUAAUGUGGUGCACCGAAUCUCUUACUUACUAGGCCUCUGUUGUGCCCCUACUGUGCGCCAGGCAUCACUCAACACCCCAAAAUCCAGAGGUAAGAAGGUGCCCUGUUCCGUGAGGAGCGUCAGGCAGGCAGAGAACUGACCUCAAGACAAUUCGGUCCUCAAAAAGGGAUGUUCAGGUUGCUCUGUGGCCCAGGGCAGGGGUGUGGCAGGAUUGACUGAUUAAUGUUGUAUUGAAGAGGGGAAAGAAAAACAGAAGGUCAGGAUUUCUAUUCACAGUGGACUGUGACAUUUUGAUCCAGAAGACGGAAUCGGUCAUUGCCCUUGCCUCCUCUGUCCGGAUCAGUAAUUUGAAGGGUGUGGUCUGAGUGCAGAAGAAGACCGUUCGUUUUAAAAUACCAUUCUUUCCCACCUUUACAAUUUAUUGGUUCGAAUUAAGUUUUAAUGCUCCACUAACCUGGGAAGGUCCCUGGGGACUGUAUCUGCUCUCACUCAUCGCUGCCUUAGGGUUAUCUCAUCCCCUCUGAGAGACAGUGAGAGAGCAAUCCCACACCUCAACGCAGAAAAAGACCGAGUCCAGCAGGAGGAUGAUAGCCUCUCUCUCUGCAAGGCUUAUGAGGAGAAGCAUCCAGAAGCCUGGACGGGUCAGGUCAGGGCUGCAGGAAAAAGGCAUGACCUUCACUGAAUAUGCUUGCCUCUGUAAGCACGGAAUGGCGUUCUAGGCCAGGAGUUCUUAGAAUCUGAAAUGGCAUAACAUCUGUAAAAUCCCAGGGACCGAUGCAGUUGGCUACCUAUCCACUUGCCAAGUAAAAGUAUUUAAAACAAACAAAAACCCCAAUAUACUAUUUUUAUCAACAUUAUCUCAUCCAAAAGACGGUAUUUUUACCGUCAAAAAAUUAGGAAGGAUCCAAUAUCACAAUAAAAGACAGCUCUUUAAACGGAAUAUAAUUUGUGAAAAAUUCCAGACUUGUCAUUGCCUUAUUUUUUGCUACCUUCAGGCUGUCACAGUCCACGCAUGGGCACUUGGAAACCACAUUUCUAGGUACUGAGGAUGUCUUGGGAUCUGUCUUGAGGUGUGUCCCUGCAAAGACACCUGAUCUCUGAGUUAUAAGAGGGGGCAGGGAGGGCACUGCAGAGCAGUGAGGAAAGCGCCCUCCUACAUAAACCUUUGGGCCCAGGCAAAUGCCACCAGCUCUAGAGAGACAUCCCUUGUGAUCUCAGGUCAAAAAUCAACCUGUGGUUUCUCUCUGUCCCCAGCGAACAUUGCUUGUAACCCCGUGUGGCAACUGGCUAAUCCUGCUUUGUAUUCUGGUCGGUUUGUACACCUGUUCUCCUCAGCUCUGGGCAUUGUCCCCUGGCCUUAUACGUAGAAGCUUCUUAGGCAUAGUCAGUCAAUCAGAUUGACUUCAUCAUCUUCUUUUUCAUUUUUUUCUUUCUAUCUGUCCUUUCCUUCUUGCCCCCUUAUUACCUUCCUGCCUUCUUUUCCUUUUAUAUCCAUUGUUAUCUCCUCCAGCUCCUUCCUGUUAGUACACAAUUUUCCCCGUGGGCAGGGUCCUCUGGAAUUCUGUACCCUGCCACUUCCCAUCCAUUCUGCAACUUCAGAUAUGCGGAAUAAAGAUAAAUGAACUGUGACAUUUGCCUUUUACAUCAAAAUACAAGAGAAGAAAACAAAAAUGGAAGAGAAGAUUGCUGUCAGACCACACAUUUCCCAUCCCCAUCGGAAAACCAUGGUCUUUUUUCCUGCCAACAAUGACCUUGGGGAUCCAGUUAAAUCCUGCCUGACGUUUUUAACAUUCAGUACUUCCGUUUUUCUCACGGGGAGUGGGGGGGGGGGGAUGAGAAAGCCUAGGCUUUACCUUCCCUAAAUCUGUUCCUGUCUCGGUUCUUCCUUUUUUGAAUCCUCCGUAUGUACCAAUUAUUUCCUGUUUCUUCCUCUCUUAGAACAUUCCACCAGGUGCCAUUCUCAUCCCCGGGUCCCCAGACCUCAUCUUUUGAGCCUCAAGUCUCUCUGACUGCAGACUCCUUUUCCCUGGGCCACAGGGUCCUCGCUUUGAGAAGUUGUGUGAAGAGAGGAUGGAAGCAUUUGUGUAAGCUGGGAGUUUUUCCAUGUAUUUCUGUGGGGAUGCGGAAGGUCUCAGAAUCACCCAGUCUGUAAGCCUGGCGCACUCCGAAAUGAGCUCUAUUUCUGGGCCUGUCAGAUGAAAUGCUGUUGCUCCCGGUUAUUUUUGGCUCUUUGCCCUUCUGAAUAGGUGCAUAUUCAGCUCAAUUCUCCCCCCGACCCUGAGCUGGGAAGAAGCAGGCAGCUUCCCUCAGCCAAGCCUCCUCUCGAGUCAGGAACAUUUGCCCCCUUAAGCAGCAGCUAUCUCAAGAGUCCUGGACUGCGCAGCGGCUGUUUAUGCCGUGGCCAGGGGGGCAGCAGGGGAGUCUGCUCCCUGGCCCCCUCAGAUGACUGAUGGAGACCCUUGUGAGCCGAACAGCAGGUACAGCCAGGUAUCCAAAGCCUCCUCGUUCAUACAUACAAAGGUCUGCAACCUGCCCCACUGGGCCUGGCUGCAAAAACUUCUCCUACCAUCCUCAGGGCACCUGGGAUGGCCAGGGGACAUUUUCGGCUCAGUGAGCAUAGAAAUAGCUGUACACUGAGGGUCUGAGGAAGGAAGAACGCUGGGAUGCAGAAGGUCAAGGGCAUGUAGUUAGAAAAAUAUCUUCGGGUGAGCAUGUUGAGAAGAACAUGUGUGUGAAAAGGGUGGAGGGAGGUUGGGUGUGAGUGUGCAGAUCCACGUGGGACGGAGAGCGAGGAAGGACAGCGACUGUGCACCUAGGGAGUGUCAGUGUAAAUAAUUGAAGAGAGAGAGUGAGUACACCUGAGACCUUGGGGAAAGCGGAUUGUAUCUACGAGUCCCGACAAUAUUUUAUAACUGCAUCCUGCAGUUGAAAUCGCGAUCCUCAGACAGGCAUUAACAUAGACUUAGGGCUUUUAGUCCAUCCGGUAAUAAACAAUAUCAAGUGAAAUGAAAUGUCAAGAUGAGCUGUACUUGCAUGGACACUUAGUAAGGUCCAUAUAAAAUCAAGAAAAGCAUAGAGAAAAGGAAGCUAGCCCAGGGUUCUCUUAACAGCUACUUAUCUCUGCAGCCUUUGACUGAGAGACUACUUUUGAAAGUUCUUACCACGUUAUCACUUGGAGGCACUAAUUCACUCAAUCCUCAUGACAGCAGCAGCAGCAGCGGCCUCGUUUUACAGACGAAGGAACUGAGUCGUUUGAAAGAUCUCAGGUCCAGGGUCAUCACCAGGUGGCAGAGCUGGUUUGGUCCGAGCAGCCGUGCUCAAGGACCGGAGCUUCCACAACUACACAAAACUUCUGUAGUGACAGCGGGUGGUGGAGGGGCAAGCAGGUGUCGUGAGGUAUGUCCAGGGCUCGCACCUGGGUUUGAAACGUAGGUGUGUGUCCGGGCUUCAUGGUGCCUGGGGACAGACACUGCCAUGUUGGACACAUCUGUCUGGGGCCAUCCUGCCACUCCCCAGCUAUGUUGCCUUUGCCGGGUCACGAAUCCUUUUUUGAACCUCAGUCUCCAGCCUCUGCAAAACUGGGGAUAAAGUCACCGAUCUGGCCAUCGAUGUGGUGUUGUGGGGGCCAGUGAGGUAGCAUGGGUGAGGGUGCGUGGCAAAUCGUCAAGCCCUAGACAAGAGUAAAGCACUUCUUGUGUAUUUUUCAGACUCACCUACUUCCAAAAAAGGCUCACAAAGAAAGGUCCAUCCCUUGUAAGUUUAUGAAAAACAGAAAAUAAAUAAAUAACCUGUCAAGGGGUUAAGGAUGACCCCACCCAUGAAGCACAUCUCCAUUAUAACCCUGGCGCAGGGGAGGGUAUUCCCCCAGUAUUUACUCCCCGGGGGGUGGGGGGGAAGCCAGCUGCCGUGUGUCAACUCUCACCACCAGCAAGCCAGCCAUGUGACGGGAGAGAGAUGCUCAGACAUUCCGACCCCUGUGUGGGCCAGACCUGCGAAUGAGCAAAUCAUCCUGAAGGUUUAUCCGUCGAGCCUUUACAUGACUCGAACCCAGCCCUGCCCCGUUCAGCUGAAACAGCUUCAGAAUCCCUAAGCCAGAACUGCCCGGCUGAGUCCUAGCAACUCACUGACCCAUGAAAGGUCACUGUCUCAACAAUUCCUGUGGAAUCCUGGGGGAUGACCCUGUUAUGGGUUGAAUUGUGUUCUCUAAAAGGAUAUGCUGGGAGUCCUAACCCCUGGUACCUGCGCAUAUGACCUUAUUUGCAAAUAGGGCCUUCGCAGAUGUAAUCAAGUGAAGCUGAGAUCGUAGGGUGGGCCCUGAUCCAAUAUGACCAGUGUCCUUACAAGAAGAUGGAAAUUUGCUCAUAGACAUGCACCGAGGGGUGACAAUGUGAAGACACAGAAGGAAGAAGGCCAUACGAAGACAGAAGCAGAGAUUGGAGCCACGAGGCCACAAGCCAAGGAACGCCCAGGGCUACCAGAAGUGGGAAGAGACAAGGAAGCAUCCUUGUCUAGCGGCUUCAGAGGGAGCGUGACUUUGCCUGUGCCUUGAUUUUUGGACUUCUACCUUCUAGAACUGUGAAACAACAAACUUCUAUUGCUUCGAGCCACCCAGUUUGGGGCACUUUGUUCGAGCAGCCUUAGAAAACUAAUAUCAACUUCGGUGUCUGCUCAGGACAGAAUGGCGACCACGGAGAAUUCUGGACGGGGCGGAGGAAGAGAUUGCUCCCUUCUGUACUUUGAGCGGCAACAAAGGGCUAUGACCGAUGCCCUCUUGGAUGCAGAAGGAGGCACUGGCCUCAUUAUAUGCAUACACCAUGACUGCUGUCUUAAACUCCAAUACUGCUGAACAAUUCAGAAAUAGAUCCAUUAUAGGUCUGCUUUAGCCCCAGGGCUUUAACACGGGUCACUAGAAAAUCCAAGAUUGCACAGUAAUUCAAACUCUUAGGAGGAAAAGGAAAAAAAAAUUCUCUUCAGCACUCCCGCCUGCCCAGAGUCCCUCCCUCCAGCAUCACAGGGAGCCCCUCUUCAUUUCUGUAGUGCUUUAGAAUAAAUAGCUCUUAUGUUGAACUUGAAAUCUAAAUUUUUUGCCAGCUAUUAAUUGAUAAGAGAAGCUCGUUUUACCUCUCAUGCUCUGUAGUAAGAUUACGGUAUAAAUAAACUGGGUCAGGUUUAGCCGGAUGGAGGUGAACUAUUCUCUAAUUCCCCUUAAUCUCUGGUAAAGGAAUAACUAGGAUUUGAACGUCAACAUUCAAUAAGCAAUUAUGGCACUCCUUCAAACACGAUCCAAAUUAGUCUGCUGUUCCCUCAAAUAGAAUCCAAAGGACCUCCAAACCGUGCUCUUCGAUUGCAACCUCCUUGUUUUGUUCUAACCGGUGAGAGGAGUCAGGAUUGCAGGAGGGAUUUGAUUUGAUUUAUAUUAAUUUUUAGAGUAUCAGGGAUCUCUUGUUUUACUUGAAACAGAUCAGGGAACGGGGUCAGUCAACAAGGGUUUUCUCGACUACUGAUCACUGAUGUCGACUACUGAUCACUCAGCAUUUCAUGAGGCUGGCUUCUAGCUUUCACAGUGCAUUAGAAUCAUUAUCUAAUUAUUAAUCUCACCCUAGAGCUCUGAGGAGCUUAUGACACCCGUUGAAGUUAAUGAAGGCUUUUACCUGUGGAUCUGGCACUAAAUCGCUGUGAUUGACCGAGUGCCCACAAUAUGGUAGGCACUGACUGACAGAGGGGAAAAAGAAUUAAAAGGAAGGAAAUUAAGAAGAGGAAGAAGGAGAAGGCAUCAGAGAGGAGGAGGGGCGAGAAACCAAAAGGAGAUUGUAACUUCAAAACACCUCGUUAGGAAAAUGGGGCAGUUAAGGAAGAACUCACCAAGUAAUCUGCUUAAACUUUAAUUAAUUAUUCAUUUAUAUAUAUUUAUGUGGCACACUUUCUCUAGGGAAACCAAUGUGCUUUGCAAACAUAUUAAAUAAUUAACUCCCUCAAAUCUGAGUGGAAAGGGAGCAAAAUUACUCCAGAAGAGGACCGGCGGGGUUGAUGAGUGAUGGAUGCGUCUGGCUUUGAAGAGGCGAUCCUGUGUGAUACCCACCAGAGACCGCAUAACAAAAGACCUCUUCUGGGGGGUAACUAUGGGUACUAUGGUGAUCCCUCCCCCCACCUUCCAGAAGAAGCAGCUUUUGCUUAUACAGAUAAAUGAUGCUACGGAGAGAGACAAACAGGAAGACACAUAAAUUGAUAUGAUACAGAAAUCCAGUAUAUUUUGAGGAAGGGUGCUAUUAGAAGAAAGUCAAAUGGAGUGCAUCUUUUAAUAAAAUACUGCCUUUGAGACAAAAGUUAAAGUUAGGACGUAUUUCGAACCAAGAACAUUGAACAUGGCAUUAAGUAAAAUGAAAUUGCAAUGGCCAAAUGAUGAGCAGCAGCGGUUAGUAAGUUGUGUUUAAACAGAUGUUGACUUCCUGAAAUUACAUCCUCAAUGCAUCAUUGACAGGACACUAUUAAAAAAAUAAAAUACCUUUAUUUUUAAAAAAAAUUUUUUUUUUUAACGUUUAUUUAUUUUUCAGACAGAGAGAGACACAGCAUGAACGGGGGAGGGGCAGAGAGAGAGGGAAACACAGAAUCGGAAGCAGGCUCUAGGCUCUGAGCCAUCAGCCCAGAGCCUGACGCGGGGCUCGAACCCACGGACCGCGAGAUCGUGACCUGAGCCGAAGUCGGACGCUUAACCGACUGAGC